CCGGCGACCGGCGCACGGGUGAGUAACACGUAUGGAACCUGCCCGCAGCAGGGGGAUAAGCGGAAGAAAUUCCGUCUAAUACCGCGUAACACCGCAGAGGGGCAUCCCUCGGCGGUUAAAGAUUCAUCGGCUGCGGAUGGCCAUGCGGCGCAUUAGCUAGUCAGCGGGGUAACGGCCCACCGAGGCGACGAUGCGUAGGGGUUCUGAGAGGAAGGUCCCCCACACUGGUACUGAGACACGGACCAGACUCCUACGGGAGGCAGCAG
rnacentral:rRNA from 1 species